UACGUAGGGGGCUAGCGUUGUCCGGAUUUAUUGGGCGUAAAGAGCGUGUAGGCGGCCAGGUAGGUCUGCUGUGAAAACUCGAGGCUCAACCUCGAGACGUCGGCGGAAACCAUCUGGCUAGAGUCCGGAAGAGGAGAGUGGAAUUCCUGGUGUAGCGGUGAAAUGCGCAGAUAUCAGGAAGAACACCCGUGGCGAAGGCGGCUCUCUGGUUGGAUACUGACGCUGAUACGCGAAAGCGUGGGGAGCAAACAGG
rnacentral:rRNA from 1 species